GUGGCGAACGGGUGAGUAACGCGUGAGUAACCUGCCCUCGAGUGGGGGACAACAGUUGGAAACGACUGCUAAUACCGCAUAAGACCACAGAGCCGCAUGGCCCAGGGGUAAAAGGAUUUAUUCGCUUGAGGAUGGACUCGCGUCCAAUUAGCUAGUUGGUGAGGUAACGGCCCACCAAGGCGACGAUUGGUAGCCGGACUGAGAGGUUGAUCGGCCACAUUGGGACUGAGACACGGCCCAGACUCCUACGGGAGGCAGCAGUGGGGGAUAUUGCACAAUGGGGGAAACCCUGAUGCAGCGACGCCGCGUGAAGGAAGAAGGCCUUCGGGUUGUAAACUUCUGUCGUACGGGACGAUAAUGACGGUACCGUACAAGAAAGCCACGGCUAACUACGUGCCAGCAGCCGCGGUAAAACGUAGGUGGCAAGCGUUGUCCGGAAUUACUGGGUGUAAAGGGAGCGCAGGCGGACUAGCAAGUUGGAAGUGAAAUCUAUGGGCUCAACCCAUAAAUUGCUUUCAAAACUGCCGGUCUUGAGUAGUGCAGAGGUAGGCGGAAUUCCCGGUGUAGCGGUGGAAUGCGUAGAU
rnacentral:rRNA from 1 species